UGAGCAAGGGGACGCGUAGAUCUUCGGGCCGUUCGAGUGCGGUCGCCUGCCGGGCUUCAUACCCGGCCUGGCCCGAGGGGAGCGAGUGGCGAGACCGACCCCGGACCGA
rnacentral:ncRNA from 1 species